rnacentral:rRNA from 1 species
AUUGAACGCUGGCGGCAGGCCUAACACAUGCAAGUCGAGCGGAUGAAGGGAGCUUGCUCCUGGAUUCAGCGGCGGACGGGUGAGUAAUGCCUAGGAAUCUGCCUGGUAGUGGGGGAUAACGUCCGGAAACGGGCGCUAAUACCGCAUACGUCCUGAGGGAGAAAGUGGGGGAUCUUCGGACCUCACGCUAUCAGAUGAGCCUAGGUCGGAUUAGCUAGUUGGUGGGGUAAAGGCCUACCAAGGCGACGAUCCGUAACUGGUCUGAGAGGAUGAUCAGUCACACUGGAACUGAGACACGGUCCAGACUCCUACGGGAGGCAGCAGUGGGGAAUAUUGGACAAUGGGCGAAAGCCUGAUCCAGCCAUGCCGCGGGUGUGAAGAAGGUCUUCGGAUUGUAAAGCACUUUAAGUUGGGAGGAAGGGCAGUAAGUUAAUACCUUGCUGUUUGGACGUGACCAACAGAAUAAGCACCGGCGAACUUCGG